AUAUCAAUAAGCGGAGGAAAAGAAACCAACAGGGAUUGCCCUAGUAACGGCGAGUGAAGCGGCAACAGCUCAAAUUUGAAAUCUGGCCCCUUCGGGGUCCGAGUUGUAAUUUGCAGAGGAUGCUUCGGCGUCGGCCCCGGGUCAAGUCCCCUGGAACGGGGCGUCCUAGAGGGUGAGAACCCCGUACUCGCCUGGGUGUCCGUCGCCGUGUGAAGCUCCUUCGACGAGUCGAGUUGUUUGGGAAUGCAGCUCUAAGCGGGAGGUAAAUUUCUUCUAAAGCUAAAUACCGGCCAGAGACCGAUAGCGCACAAGUAGAGUGAUCGAAAGAUGAAAAGCACUUUGGAAAGAGAGUUAAAAAGCACGUGAAAUUGUUGAAAGGGAAGCUCUUGCCGCCAGACUUGCCGCGGUUGCUCAGCCGUCCSCCGGGGCGGUGUACUCUUCCGUCGGCAGGCCAGCGUCGGUUCGGGCGGCCGGAUAAAGGCCCUGGGAAUGUAGCACCCUUCGGGGUGUGUUAUAGCCCGGGGUGCAAUGCGGCCAGCCCGGUCCGAGGCACGCGUUCGCGAGGACGCUGGCGUAAUGGCUGCAAGCGACCCGUCUUGAAACACGGACCAAGGAGUCUAACAUCUGUGCGAGUGUUUGGGUGUCAAACCCAUACGCGUAAUGAAAGUGAACGGAGGUGGGAACCCCCUCGAGGGGCGCACCAUCGACCGAUCCUGAUGUCUUCGGAUGGAUUUGAGUAAGAGCAUAGCUGUUGGGACCCGAAAGAUGGUGAACUAUUCCCGGAUAGGGUGAAGCCAGAGGAAACUCUGGUGGAGGCUCGCAGCGGUUCUGACGUGCAAAUC
rnacentral:rRNA from 1 species